rnacentral:sRNA from 1 species
GUCUAAUGUACAGUGGUGUUUAGACUACUAACUAUCACAACCAGUUAUAGGUUCCUUUGUUCUCCACUCCCACUGCUUCACCUGAUUAGCCUUUA